AAUGACAAGCCAGAUUAAUGGGCUACUUUGAUAAGGUAGAUUAUGCUUAUGCUGUUAUUA
rnacentral:tRNA from 1 species